UACAGAGGUCCCAAGCGUUGUUCGGAUUCACUGGGCGUAAAGGGUGCGUAGGCGGUUUGACAAGUCUGAUGUGAAAUCUCGGAGCUCAACUCCGAAACUGCAAUGGAUACUGACGGGCUAGAGGAUUGGAGGGGGGACUGGAAUUCUCGGUGUAGCAGUGAAAUGCGUAGAGAUCGAGAGGAACACUGGUGGCGAAGGAGAGUCCCGGGACAAUACCUGACGUUGAGGCACGAAAGCUAGGGGAGCAAACAGG
rnacentral:rRNA from 1 species